rnacentral:lncRNA from 1 species
AAGGGUUAUUCCACAUUUUUUGCCGAUCCGCACACAUUGGAAUUUCGCUAACUCCUCCGAAGGCUUUCGUUCCACCGGCAACACAUUUGCUCAGGCCAAUCUACACCCCAUGGCCAUUAAAAGUUAUUCAAAUCAUGACGCUGCACCCCACGGUUUAGGUUCUAGGGGGCGCCAAAGAUAACCCUAAAAUCCACAUAUUUAAAAGUCUUAUACCUUUUAUUUUUGUCCUCACUGGCCUCCAAGUUUUCUAGGAUGAUGCAAUGUCCAGCCAUCAACACAUUUGUGAAGGAAUUGUUACUCCCCAAAAGAGCGCCCCCCCCCCCAUGGCAGGAGAAAAAAGUCCAUUUUUUCUUGUCGCCUAAGGUGAAAAUUCACAUUGUUGAGUGUGACACCUGUACGCUUUGUCAUAUUGACACAAAAUUUUACAAUCACGUGUAUCUCAAUAAGAUCUACGAAAAAGUCAAUGCGCGCGUAUCUGUAAAAUGUACGGUUAAAGGGCUAUAUUGCAUUUUCUGCCGAUUCGCACACAUUGGAAUGUGGGUAACUCCUCCUAAGGCUUUCGUCCCACUGACACCAAAUUUGCUCAGGCCAAUCUACAUCCCAUGGCCAUUCAAAAUUGUAAAAAUCAUGACGCUGCACCCCACGGUUUACCUUCUAGGGGGCGCCAAAGAUGACCCAAAAAUCCACAUUCUUAAAAGAAUCCCCCCCCCCUCCAUGGCAGGAGAAAAAGUCAAGUUUUUCCUGCCCAUCGCUCAAUGGCUCAAUCGCAUCGCUCUCCCAGCAACACCGUAAGGAGGAGCAACCUGCCAUUUGGAUAUAUCCUAGCUGUGUUUGUGCCCUCACUCAUGGCCCAGACUUUUUUCAAAUAGGACAUGUAGUUUGUCUGCAGCGAGUGUUUUGGUAGAAACUGCGCCUCCCAUUCAUUAUAAUGGGAAAUGACCACAGACAAGUGCGCACACCAUCUUUGGACCUUGAGUGUGACGCGAUCGGGAGGGGUAGGCGGUCGCGCUGGGGGCGGCGCGACGCGGCUCGGGCCCGACAGUGCCCCACCGGGGCCCUAGUUAGGGCCCGAGCCAGCUGCAGAGCAGCCGGGCGUAGAGCCCUAUUAUUCCUGAUGAGUUUUUCUGUUUCUUUCUUUCUUUCUUUAGGGCCCGAGCGUAGCUGCUAAGCAGCUGUGAGAGCCCUCUUGUUCCCGCAUGUUUCCUUCUUUAGGGCCCGAGCGUAGCUGCUAAGCAGCUGCGAGAGCCCUCUUGUUCCUGAUGGAUUCUUCUUUCGUUAUUAGGGCCCGAGCGUAGCUGCUAAGCAGCUGCGAGAGCCCUCUUGUUCCUGAUGGAUUCUUCUUUCGUUAUUAUUAUUAUUAUUAUUAUUAUUAUUUUUCCUCCGCUUUAAACUGGAAAAUGGCCCACUUCCCACUGGCGAAAACUCAGGAAAUUUGGCAGGACAACCGGGCCUGGUGAAAAAUUCGAUAUUCUGAAGUCGCCCAAACAAUAAAAUGCAAAAUGGCUCCAUAGCGCCCCUUAAGGUGAAAAUUCACACUAUUGACUGUCACGCCUGUACGCUUUGUCAUAUUGACACAAAAAUUGACACACACAUGUAUCUCAAUAAGAUCUACAAAAAAGUCUUGCGGGCGUAUCUGUCAAAUGUAUGGUUAAAGGGUUAUUUCGCAUUUUUUGCAGAUCCGCACACAUUGGAAUUUCGCUAACUCCUCCGAAGGCUUUCGUUCCACCAGCACCACGUUUUCUCAGGCCAAUCUACACCCCAUGGCCAUUCAAAGUUGUACAAAUAAUGACGCUGCACCCCACGGUUUAGGUUCUAGGGGGCGCCAAAGAUAACCCUAAAAUCCACAUAUUUAAAAGUCUUAUACCUUUUAUUUUUGUCCUCACUGGCCUCCAAGUUCUCUAGGAUGAUGCAAUGUCCAGCCAUCAACACAUUUGUGAAGGAAUUUUUACUCGCCAAAAGAGCGCCCCCCCAUGGCAGGAGAAAAAAGUCCAUUUUUUCUUGUCCCCCCAAGGCAAAAAUACACAUUGUUGAAUGUCACGACUGUACGCUUUGUCAUAUUGACACAAAAUUUGACAAUCACGUGUAUCUUAAUAAGAUCUACGAAGAAGUCCAUGCGCACGUAUCUGUAAAAUGUACGGUUAAAGGGCUAUUUUGCAUUUUUUGCCGAUUAGCACACAUUGGAAUGUGGCUAACUCCUCCUAAGGCUUUCGUCCCACCGACACCAAAUUUGCUCAGGCCAACCUACACCCCAUGGCCAUUCAAAGUUGUACAAAUCAUGACGCUGCACCCCACGGUUUAGGUUCUAGGGGGCGCCAAAGAGGACCCAAAUAUCCACAUUUUUAAAAGUCUUAUAACUUUUUAUUUUUGUCCUCACUGGCCUCCAAGUUUUCUAGGAUGAUGCAAUGUCCAGCCAUCAACACAUUUGUGAAGGAAUUUUUACUCCCCAAAAGAGCGCCCCCCCAUGGCAGGAGAAAAAGUCAAGUUUUUCCUGCCCAUCGCUCAAUGGCUCAAACGCAUCGCUCUCUCGGCAAAACCGAAAGGAGGAGCAACUUGCCAUUUGGAUAUAUACUAGCUGUGUUUGUGCCCUCACUCAUGGUCCAGACUUUUUUCAAAAAGGACAUGGAGUUUGUCUGCAGCGAGCGUUUUGGUAGAAACUGCGCCUCCCAUUCAUUAUAAUGGUAAAUGACCACAGACAAGUGCGCACACCAUCUUUGGACUUUGAGUGUGACGCAAUCGGGAGGGGUAGGCGGUCGCGCUGGGGGCGGCGCGACAUGGCUCGGGCCCGCCAGUGCCCCACCGGGGCCCUAGUUAGGGCCCGAGCGUAGCUGCUAAGCAGCUGCGAGAGCCCUCUUGUUCCUGAUGGAUUCUUCUUUUUAGGGCCCGAGCGUAGCUGCUAAGCAGCUGCGAGAGCCCUCUUGUUCCUGAUGGAUUCUUCUUUUGUUAGGGCCCGAGCGUAGCUGCUAAGCAGCUGCGAGAGCCCUCUUGUUCCUGAUGGAUUCUUCUUUUGUUAUUAUUAGGGCCCGAGCGUAGCUGCUAAGCAGCUGCGAGAGCCCUCUUGUUCCUGAUGGAUUCUUCUUUUUAGGGCCCGAGCCAGCUGCAGAGCAGCCGGGCGUAGAGCCCUAUUAUUCCUGUAUAGGUUUUUCUUUCUUCUUUCUUUCUUUCUUUCUUUCUUCUUAUUUUUCCUCCCCUUUGAAGGGGAAAAUGGCCCACUUCCCACUGGCGAAAACUCAUGAAAUUUGGCAGGACGACCGGGCCUGGUGAAAAAUUCAAUAUUCUGAAGUCGCCCAAACAAUAAAAUGCAAAAUGGCUCCAAAGCGCCCCCUAAGGUGAAAAUUCACACUAUUGACUGUCACGCCUUUACGCUUUGUCAUAUUGACACAAAAAUUGACACACACAUGUAUCUCAAUAAGAUCUACAAAAAAGUCAGUGCGGGCGUAUCUGUCAAAUGUACGGUUAAAGGGUUAUUUUGCAUUUUUUGCCGAUCCGCACACAUUGGAAUUUCGCUAACUUCUCCGAAGGCUUUCGUUCCACCGGCACCACAUUUGCUCAGGCCAAUCUACACCCCAUGGCCAAUAAAAGUUGUACAAAUCAUGACGCUGCACCCCACGGUUUACGUUCUAGGGGGCGCCAAAGAUAACCCAAAAAUCCACAGUCUUAAAAGUCUUAUAACUUUUUAUUUUUGUCCUCACUGGCCUCCAAGUUCUCUAGGAUGAUGCAAUGUCCAGCCAUCAACACAUUUGUGAAGGAAUUUUUACUCGCCAAAAGAGCGCCCCCCCAUGGCAGGAGAAAAAAGUCCAUUUUUUCUUGUCUCCUAAGGCGAAAAUUCACACUAUUGACUGUCACGCCUUUACGCUUUGUCAUAUUGACACAAAAAUUGACAUACACAUGUAUCUCAAUAAGAUCUACAAAAAAGUCAGUGCGGGCGUAUCUGUCAAAUGUACGGUUAAAGGGUUAUUUCGCAUUUUUUGCCGAUCCGCACACAUUGGAAUUUCGCUAACUCCUCCGAAGGCUUUCGUUCCACCAGCACCACAUUUGCUCAGGCCAAUCUACACCCCAUGGCCAUUAAAAGUUGUACAAAUCAUGAUGCUGCACCCCACGGUUUACGUUCUAGGGGGCGCCAAAGAUAACCCAAAUAUCCACAGUCUUAAAAGUUUUAUAACUUUUUAUUUUUGUCCUCACUGGCCUCCAAGUUCUCUAGGAUGAUGCAAUGUCCAGCCAUCAACACAUUUGUGAAGGAAUUUUUACUCGCCAAAAGAGCGCCCCCCCAUGGCAGGAGAAAAAAGUCCAUUUUUUCUUGUCUCCUAAGGCGAAAAUUCACACUAUUGACUGUCACGCCUUUACGCUUUGUCAUAUUGACACAAAAAUUGACAUACACAUGUAUCUCAAUAAGAUCUACAAAAAAGUCAGUGCGGGCGUAUCUGUCAAAUGUACGGUUAAAGGGUUAUUUUGCAUUUUUUGCCGAUCCGCACACAUUGGAAUUUCGCUAACUCCUCCGAAGGCUUUCGUUCCACCAGCACCACAUUUGCUCAGGCCAAUCUACACCCCAUGGCCAUUAAAAGUUGUACAAAUCAUGAUGCUGCACCCCACGGUUUACGUUCUAGGGGGCGCCAAAGAUAACCCAAAUAUCCACAGUCUUAAAAGUUUUAUAACUUUUUAUUUUUGUCCUCACUGGCCUCCAAGUUCUCUAGGAUGAUGCAAUGUCCAGCCAUCAACACAUUUGUGAAGGAAUUUUUACUCGCCAAAAGAGCGCCCCCCCAUGGCAGGAGAAAAAAGUCCAUUUUUUCUUGUCUCCUAAGGCGAAAAUACACAUUGUUGACUGUCACGCCUUUACGCUUUGUCAAAAUGACACAAAAUUUGACACACACAUGUAUCUCAAUAAGAUCUACAAAAAAGUCAGUGCGGGCGUAUCUGUCAAAUGUACGGUUAAAGGGUUAUUUUGCAUUUUUUGCCGAUCCGCACACAUUGGAAUUUCGCUAACUCCUCCGAAGGCUUUCGUUCCAACGGCACCACAUUUGCUCAGGCCAAUCUACACCCCAUGGCCAUUCAAAGUUGUACAAAUCAUGACGCUGCACCCCACGGUUUACGUUCUAGGGGGCGCCAAAGAUAACCCAAAAAUCCACAGUCUUAAAAGUCUUAUAACUUUUUAUUUUUGUCCUCACUGGCCUCCAAGUUUUCUAGGAUGAUGCAAUGUCCAGCCAUCAACACAUUUGUGAAGGAAUUUUUCUCCCCAAAAGAGCGCCCCCCAUGGCAGGAGAAAAAGUCAAGUUUUUCCUGCCCAUCGCUCAAUGGCUCAAACGCAUCGCUCUCUCGGCAAAACCGAAAGGAGGAGCAACUUGCCAUUUGGAUAUAUACUAGCUGUGUUUGUGCCCUCACUCAUGGUCCAGACUUUUUUCAAAAAGGACAUGGAGUUUGUCUGCAGCGAGCGUUUUGGUAGAAACUGCGCCUCCCAUUCAUUACAAUGGUAAAUGACCACAGACAAGUGCGCACACCAUCUUUGGACCUUGAGUGUGACGCGAUCGGGAGGGGUAGGCGGUCGCGCUGGGGGUGGCGCGACGCGGCUCGGGCCCGACAGUGCCCCACCGGGGCCCUAGUGUUAUUAUUAGGGCCCGAGCCAGCUGCAGAGCAGCCGGGCGUAGAGCCCUAUUAUUCCUGUAUAGGUUUUUCUUUCUUCUUUCUUUCUUUCUUUCUUUCUUUCUUUCUUCUUAUUUUUCCUCCCCUUUGAAGGGGAAAAUGGCCCACUUCCCACUGGCGAAAACUCAUGAAAUUUGGCAGGACGAAUGGGCCUGGUGAAAAAUUCGAUAUUCUGAAGUCGCCCAAACAAUAAAAUGCAAAAUGGCUCCAUAGCGCCCCCUAAGGUGAAAAUUCACACUAUUGACUGUCACGCCUUUACGCUUUGUCAUAUUGACACAAAAAUUGACACACACAUGUAUCUCAAUAAGAUCUACAAAAAAGUCAGUGCGGGCGUAUCUGUCAAAUGUACGGUUAAAGGGUUAUUUUGCAUUUUUUGCCGAUCCGCACACAUUGGAAUUUCGCUAACUCCUCCGAAGGCUUUCGUUCCACCGGCACCACAUUUGCUCAGGCCAAUCUACACCCCAUGGCCAUUAAAAGUUGUACAAAUCAUGACGCUGCACCCCACGGUUUACGUUCUAGGGGGCGCCAAAGAUAACCCAAAAAUCCACAGUCUUAAAAGUCUUAUAACUUUUUAUUUUUGUCCUCACUGGCCUCCAAGUUCUCUAGGAUGAUGCAAUGUCCAGCCAUCAACACAUUUGUGAAGGAAUUUUUACUCGCCAAAAGAGGGCCCCCCCAUGGCAGGAGAAAAAAGUCCAUUUUUUCUUGUCUCCUAAGGCGAAAAUUCACACUAUUGACUGUCACGCCUUUACGCUUUGUCAUAUUGACACAAAAAUUGACACACACAUGUAUCUCAAUAAGAUCUACAAAAAAGUCAGUGCGGGCGUAUCUGUCAAUCUACGGUUAAAGGGCUAUUUCGCAUUUUUUGCCGAUCCGCACACAUUGGAAUUUCGCUAACUCCUCCGAAGGCUUUCGUUCCAAAGGCACCACAUUUGCUCAGGCCAAUCUACACCCCAUGGCCAUUAAAAGUUGUACAAAUCAUGACGCUGCACCCCACGGUUUACGUUCUAGGGGGCGCCAAAGAUAACCCAAAAAUCCACAGUCUUAAAAGUCUUAUAACUUUUUAUUUUUGUCCUCACUGGCCUCCAAGUUCUCUAGGAUGAUGCAAUGUCCAGCCAUCAACACAUUUGUGGAGGAAUUUUUACUCGCCAAAAGAGCGCCCAUGGCAGGAGAAAAAAGUCAAUUUUUUCUUGUCUCCUAAGGCAAAAAUACACAUUGUUGACUGUCACGCCUUUACGCUUUGUCAAAAUGACACAAAAUUUGACACACACAUGUAUCUCAAUAAGAUCUACGAAAAAGUCAAAGUGAGCGUAUCUGUUCAAUGUACGGUUAAAGGGCUAUUUUGCAUUUUUUGCCGAUCCGCACACAUUGGAAUUUCGCUAACUCCUCCGAAGGCUUUCGUUCCAAAGGCAUCACAUUUGCUCAGGCCAAUCUACACCCCAUGGCCAUUAAAAGUUGUACAAAUCAUGACGCUGCACCCCACGGUUUACGUUCUAGGGGGCGCCAAAGAUAACCCAAAAAUCCACAGUCUUAAAAGUCUUAUAACUUUUUAUUUUUGUCCUCACUGGCCUCCAAGUUCUCUAGGAUGAUGCAAUGUCCAGCCAUCAACACAUUUGUGGAGGAAUUUUUACUCGCCAAAAGAGCGCCCCCCCCCCCAUGGCAGGAGAAAAAAGUCCAUUUUUUCUUGUCUCCUAAGGCGAAAAUUCACACUAUUGACUGUCACGCCUGUACGCUUUGUCAUAUUAACACAAAAAUUGACACACACAUGUAUCUCAAUAAGAUCUACAAAAAAGUCAGUGCGGGCGUAUCUGUCAAAUGUACGGUUAAAGGGUUAUUUCGCAUUUUUUGCAGAUCCGCACACAUUGGAAUUUCGCUAACUCCUCCGAAGGCUUUCGGUCCACCGGCACCACAUUUGCUCAGGCCAAUCUACACUCCAUGGCCAUUCAAAGUUGUACAAAUCAUGAUGCUGCACCCCAUGGUUUAGGUUCUAGGGGGCGCCAAAAAUAACCCUAAAAUCCACAUUCUUAAAAGUUUUAUAACUUUUUAUUUUUGCCCUCACUGGCCUCCAAGUCUUCUAGGAUGAUGCAAUGUCCAGCCAUCAACACAUUUGUGAAGGAAUUUUUACUCCCCAAAAGAGCGCCCCCCCCAUGGCAGGACAAAAGAGUCAAUUUUUUCUUGUCCCCUAAGGUGAAAAUACACAUUGUUGAAUGUCACGCCUGUACGCUUUGUCAUAUUGACACAAAAUUUGACAAUCACGUGUAUCUCAAUAAGAUCUACGAAAAGGUCAAUGCGCGCGUAUCUGUAAAAUGUACGGUUAAAGGGUUAUUUCGCAUUUUUUGCCGAUUCGCACACAUUGGAAUGUGGCUAACUCCUCCUAAGGCUUUCGUCCCACUGACACCAAAUUUGCUCAGGCCAAUCUACACCCCAUGGCCAUUCAAAGUUGUAAAAAUCAUGACGCUGCACCCCAUGGUCUACGUUCUAGGGGGCGCCAAAGAGGACCCAAAUAUCCACAUUUUUAAAGUCUUAUAACUUUUUAUUUUUGUCCUCACUGGCCUCCAAGUUUUCUAGGAUGAUGCAAUGUCCAGCCAUCAACACAUUUGUGAAGGAAUUUUUUCUCCCCAAAAGAGCGCCCCCCCCAUGGCAGGAGAAAAAGUCAAGUUUUUCCUGCCCAUCGCUCAAUGGCUCAAACGCAUCGCUCUCUCGGCAAAACGGAAAGGAGGAGCAACUUGCCAUUUGGAUUUAUACUAGCUGUGUUUGUGCCCUCACUCAUGGUCCAGACUUUUUUCAAAAAGGACAUGGAGUUUGUCUGCAGCGAGCGUUUUGGUAGAAACUGCGCCUCCCAUUCAUUAUAAUGGUAAAUGACCACAGACAAGUGCGCACACCAUCUUUGGACCUUGAGUGUGACGCGAUCGGGAGGGGUAGGCGGUCGCGCUGGGGGCGGCGUGACACGGCUCGGGCCCGCCAGUGCCCCACCGGGGCCCUAGUUAUUAUUUUUCCUCCGCUUUAAACUGGAAAAUGGCCUACUUCCCACUGGAGAAAACUCAUGAAAUUUGGCAGGACGACCGGGCCUGGUGAAAAAUUCGAUAUUCUGAAGUCGCCCAAACAAUAAAAUGCAAAAUGGCUCCAUAGCGCCUCCUAAGGCGAAAAUUCACACUAUUGACUGUCAUGCCUGUACGCUUUGUCAUAUUGACACAAAAAUUGACACACACGUGUAUCUCAAUACGGUCUACGAAAAAGUCAGCGCGGGCGCAUCUGUGAAAUGUACGGUUAGAGGGUUAUUUCGCAUUUUUUGCCGAUCUGCACACAUUGGAAUUUGGCUAACUCCUCCGAAGGCAUUCGUUCCACCGGCACCACAUUUGCUCAAGCCAAUCUACACCCCAUGGCCAUUAAAAGUUGUACAAAUCAUGACGCUGCACCCCACAGUUUACGUUCUAGGGGGCGCCAAAGAUAACCCAAAAAUCCACAGUCUUAAAAGUCUUAUAACUUUUUAUUUUUGUCCUCACUGGCCUCCAAGUUCUCUAGGAUGAUGCAAUGUCCAGCCAUCAACACAUUUGUGAAGGAAUUUUUACUCCCCAAAAGAGCGCCCCCACAUGGCAGGAGAAAAAAGUCCAUUUUUUCUUGUCCCCUAAGGUGAAAAUACACAUUGUUGAGUGUCACGCCUAUACGCUUUGUCAUAUUGACACAAAAUUUGACAAUCACGUGUAUCUCAAUAAGAUCUACGAAAAAGUCAAUGGGCACGUAUCUGUAAAAUGUACGGUUAAAGGGUUAUUUCGCAUUUUUUCCCGAUCCGCACACAUUGGAAUUUCGCUAACUCCUCCGAAGGCUUUAGUUCCACCGCCACCAAAUUUGCUCAGGCCAAUCUACUCCCCAUGGCCAUUAAAAGUUGUACAAAUCAUGACGUUGCACUCCACGGUUUAGGUUCUAGGGGGCGCCAAAGAUAACCCAAAAAUCCACAUUCUUAAUAGUCUUAUAACUUUUUAUUUUUGUCCUCACUGGCCUCCAAGUUUUCUAGGAUGAUGCAAUGUCCAGCCAUCAACACAUUUGUAAAGGAAUUUUUACUCCCGAAAAGAGCGCCCCCCCAUGGCAGGAGAAAAAAGUCCAUUUUUUCUUGUCCCCUAAGGUGAAAAAACACAUUGUUGACUGUCACGCCUAUACGCUUUGUCAAAAUGACACAAAAUUUGACACACACGUGUAUCUCAAUAAGAUCUACGAAAAAGUCAAUGGGCACGUAUCUGUAAAAUGUACGGUUAAAGGGCUAUUUCGCAUUUUUUGCCGAUUCGCACACAUUGGAAUGUGGCUAACUCCUCCUAAGGCUUUCUUCCCACCGACACCAAAUUUGCUCAAGCCGAUCUACAUCCCAUGGCCAUUCAAAGUUGUAAAAAUCAUGCCGCUGCACCCCAUGGUUUACGUUCUAGGGGGCGCCAAAGAUGACCCAAAUAUCCACAUUCUUAAAAGAAUCCACAUCCCCCCCCCCCCAAGGCAGGAGAAAAAGUCCAGUUAACCCUGCCCAUCGCUCAAUGGCUCAAUCGCAUCGCUCUCCUGGCAACACCGUAAGGAGGAGCAACUUGCCAUUUGGAUAUAUCCUAGCUGUGUUUGUGCCCUCACUCAUGGUCCAGACUUUUUUCAAAUAGGACAUGUAGUUUGUCUGCAGCGACCGUUUUGGUAGAAACUGCGCCUCCCAUUCAUUAUAAUGGGAAAUGACCACAGACAAGUGCGCACACCAUCUUUGGACCUUGAGUGUGAUGCGAACGGGAGGGGGAGGCGGUCGCGCUGGGGGCGGCGCGACGCGGCUCGGGCCCAACAGUGCCCCACCGGGGCCCUAGUUAGGGCCCGAGCGUAGCUGCUAAGCAGCUGCGAGAGCCCUGUUGUUCCUGAUGAGUUUUUCUUUCUUCUUUCUUUCUUUCUUUCUUCUUAUUUUUCCUCCCCUUUGAAGGGGAAAAUGGCCCACUUCCCACUGGCGAAAACUCAUGAAAUUUGACAGGAGGACCGGGCCUGGUGAAAAAUUCGAUAUUCUGAAGUCGCCCAAACAAUAAAAUGCAAAAUGGCUCCAUAGCGCCCCCUAAGGUGAAAAUUCACACUAUUGACUGUCACGCCUGUACGCUUUGUCAUAUUGACACAAAAAUUGACACACACAUGUAUCUCAAUAAGAUCUACAAAAAAGUCAGCACGGGCGUGUCUGUCAAAUGUACGGUUAAAGGGUUAUUUCGCAUUUUUUGCCGAUCCGCACACAUUGGAAUUUCGCUAACUCCUCCGAAGGCUUUCGUUCCACCGGCACCACAUUUGCUCAGGCCAAUCUACACCCCAUGGCCAUUAAAAGUUGUACAAAUCAUGACGCUGCACCCCACGGUUUACGUUCUAGGGGGCGCCAAAGAUAACCCAAAAAUCCACAGUCUUAAAAGUCUUAUAACUUUUUAUUUUUGUCCUCACUGGCCUCCAAGUUCUCUAGGAUGAUGCAAUGUCCAGCAAUUAACACAUUUGUGAAGGAAUUUUUACUCGCCAAAAGAGUGCCCCCCCAUGGCAGGAGAAAAAAGUCCAUUUUUUCUUGUCCCCUAAGGCGAAUAUACACAUUGUUGAGUGUCACGCCUGUACGCUUUGUCAUAUUGACACAAAAUUUGACAAUCAAGUGUAUCUCAAUAAGAUCUAUGAAAAAGUCAAUGUGCGCGUAUCUGUAAAAUGUACAGUUAAAGGGCUAUUUCGCAUUUUUUGCCGAUUCGCACACAUUGGAAUGUGGCUAACUCCUCCUAAGGCUUUCGUUCCACUGACACCAAAUUUGCUCAGGCCAAUCUACACCCCAUGGCCAUUCAAAGUUGUACAAAUCAUGACGCUGCAUCCCACGGUUUACGUUCUAGGGGGCGCCAAAGAUGACCCAAAUAUCCACAUUUUUAAAAGUCUUAUAACUUUAUUUUUGUCCUCACUGGCCUCCAAGUUUUCUAGGAUGAUGCAAUGUUCAGUCAUCAACACAUUUGUGAAGGAAUUUUUUUUCCCCAAAAGAGCGCCCCCCCAUGGCAGGAGAAAAAGUCAAGUUUUUCCUGCCCAUCGCUCAAUGGCUCUAAUUCAUCGCUCUCUCGGCAAAACCGAAAGGAGGAGCACCUUGCCAUUUGGGUAUAUACUAGCAGUGUUUGUGCCCUCACUCAUGGUCCAGACUUUUUUCAAAAAGGACAUGGAGUUUGUCUGCAGCGAGCGUUUUGGUAGAAACUGCGCCUCCCAUCCAUUAUAAUGGUAAAUGACCACAGACAAGUGCGCACACCAUCUUUGGACCUUGAGUGUGACGCGAUCGGGAGGGGUAGGUGGUCGCGCUGGGAGCGGCGCGACACGGCUCGGGCCCGCCAGUGCCCCAACGGGGCCCUAGUUAUUAUUAUUAUUUUUCCUCCGCUUUAAACUGGAAAAUGGCCCACUUCCCACUGGCGAAAACUCAUGAAAUUUGGCAGGACGACCGGGCCUGGUGAAAAAUUCGAUAUUCUGAAGUCGCCCAAACAAUAAAAUGCAAAAUGGCUCCAUAGCGCCCCCUAAGGCGAAAAUUCACACUAUUGACUGUCACGCCUGUACGCUUUGUCAUAUUGACACAAAAAUUGACACACACGUGUAUCUCAAUACGGUCUACGAAAAAGUCAGCGCGGGCGCAUCUGUGAAAUGUACGGUUAGAGGGUUAUUUCGCAUUUUUUGCCGAUCUGCACACAUUGGAAUUUGGCUAACUCCUCCGAAGGCAUUCGUUCCACCGGCACCACAUUUGCUCAAGCCAAUCUACACCCCAUGGCCAUUAAAAGUUGUACAAAUCAUGACGCUGCACCCCACAGUUUACGUUCUAGGGGGCGCCAAAGAUAACCCAAAAAUCCACAGUCUUAAAAGUCUUAUCACUUUUUAUUUUUGUCCUCACUGGCCUCCAAGUUCUCUAGGAUGAUGCAAUGUCCAGCCAUCAACACAUUUGUGAAGGAAUUUUUGCUCCCCAAAAGAGCGCCCCCACAUGGCAGGAGAAAAAAAGUCCAUUUUUUCUUGUCCCCUAAGGUGAAAAUACACAUUGUUGAGUGUCACGCCUAUACGCUUUGUCAUAUUGACACAAAAUUUGACAAUCACGUGUAUCUCAAUAAGAUCUACGAAAAAGUCAAUGGGCACGUAUCUGUAAAAUGUACGGUUAAAGGGUUAUUUCGCAUUUUUUCCCGAUCCGCACACAUUGGAAUUUCGCUAACUCCUCCGAAGGCUUUAGUUCCACCGCCACCAAAUUUGCUCAGGCCAAUCUACACCCCAUGGCCAUUAAAAGUUGUUCAAAUCAUGACGUUGCACUCCACGGUUUAGGUUCUAGGGGGCGCCAAAGAUAACCCAAAAAUCCACAUUCUUAAUAGUCUUAUAACUUUUUAUUUUUGUCCUCACUGGCCUCCAAGUUUUCUAGGAUGAUGCAAUGUCCAGCCAUCAACACAUUUGUAAAGGAAUUUUUACUCCCGAAAAGAGCGCCCCCCCAUGGCAGGAGAAAAAAGUCCAUUUUUUCUUGUCCCCUAAGGUGAAAAAACACAUUGUUGACUGUCACGCCUAUACGCUUUGUCAAAAUGACACAAAAUUUGACACACACGUGUAUCUCAAUAAGAUCUACGAAAAAGUCAAUGGGCACGUAUCUGUAAAAUGUAUGGUUAAAGGGCUAUUUCGCAUUUUUUGCCGAUUCGCACACAUUGGAAUGUGGCUAACUCCUCCUAAGGCUUUCUUCCCACCGACACCAAAUUUGCUCAAGCCGAUCUACAUCCCAUGGCCAUUCAAAGUUGUAAAAAUCAUGCCGCUGCACCCCAUGGUUUACGUUCUAGGGGGCGCCAAAGAUGACCCAAAUAUCCACAUUCUUAAAAGAAUCCACAUCCCCCCCCCCCCAAGGCAGGAGAAAAAGUCCAGUUAACCCUGCCCAUCGCUCAAUGGCUCAAUCGCAUCGCUCUCCUGGCAACACCGUAAGGAGGAGCAACUUGCCAUUUGGAUAUAUCCUAGCUGUGUUUGUGCCCUCACUCAUGGUCCAGACUUUUUUCAAAUAGGACAUGUAGUUUGUCUGCAGCGACCAUUUUGGUAGAAACUGCGCCUCCCAUUCAUUAUAAUGGGAAAUGACCACAGACAAGUGCGCACACCAUCUUUGGACCUUGAGUGUGAUGCGAUCGGGAGGGGGAGGCGGUCGCGCUGGGGGCGGCGCGACGCGGCUCGGGCCCGACAGUGCCCCACCGGGGCCCUAGUUAUUAUUAUUAUUUUUCCUCCGCUUUAAACUGGAAAAUGGCCCACUUCCCACUGGCGAAAACUCAUGAAAAUUGGCAGGACGACCGGGCCUGGUGAAAAAUUCGAUAUUCUGAAGUCGCCCAAACAAGAAAAUGCAAAAUGGCUCAAUAGCGCCCCCAAAGGUGAAAAUUCACACUAUUGACUGUCACGCCUAUACGCUUUGUCAUAUUGACACAAAAAUUGACACACACAUGUAUCUCAAUAAGAUCUACGAAAAAGUCAAUGCGCGCGUAUCUGUCAAAUGUACGGUUAAAGGGUUAUUCCGCAUUUUUUGCCGUUCCGCACACAUUGGAAUUUCGCUAACUCCUCCGAAGGCUUUCGUUCCACCUGCACUACAUUUGCUCAGGCCAAUCUACACCCCAUGGCCAUUGAAAGUUGUACAAAUCAUGACGCUGCACCCCAUGGUUUACGUUCUAGGGGGCGCCAAAGAUGACCCAAAUAUCCACAUUUUUAAAAGUCUUAUAACUUUUUAUUUUUGUCCUCACUGGCCUCCAAGUUUUCUAGGAUGAUGCAAUGUGCAGCCAUCAACACAUCUGUGAAGGAAUUUUUUCUCCCCAAAAGAGCGCCCCCCCCCCCCAUGGCAGGAGAAAAAGUCAAGUUUUUCCAGCCCAUCGCUUAAUGGCUCAAACGCAUUGCUCUCCCGCUAAAACCAAAAGGAGGAGCAACUUGCCAUUUGGAUAUGUCCUAGCUGUGUUUGUACCCUCACUCAUGGUCCAGAAUUUUUUCAAAUAGGACAUGUAGUUUGUCUGCAGCGAGCGUUUUGGUAGAAACUGUGCCUCCCAUUCAUUAUAAUGGGAAAUGACCAAAGACAGGUGCGCACACCAUCUUUGGACCUUGACUUUGACGUCACAGUUUGAAAUACAAAUGUUAUUUGACCUCUGACCUUUGGUGGACACCCUAACCUUUCAACCCGCGAAAACGGCGUUUCAAUAGCUCUUACGGCUUUCCUACAAAUACACUUUGUUCAGCUACUCCUACUGUCCUUUAAGCUCUGCUUCUCAGAUCAUCAAAGAGUGUGCACGUGUGUAAUGAGCGCAUAUUGAAUGUUAAUUAUGUUAAAUAUGUUAAUUAUUAGAAGAAAAAACAACAACAGUCCUUUUGGACAAAAUUUCUUUUUAUUACAGAAUUAGAAUAAUGGAAGCAUAGUCCAAGGAAACCAUUCAAGUGAUGUCAUACCUCAUAAUUAAUUGAGAUGUUGGCUAGUCUGGGCAUUUCUUCAUUCAUCAGGUUUCCUGCAUGCAUACUAACAGAGCACAUCAGUAGCAGUGAGUGAUAAGUAUGAGUGUGUCAUUGUGUAAGAAAGAAAGUGGUUUACUUGCACAUCCAUAGAAAAUAGGUGGUUGAGCACAGCACGCAAACAAAGCUUUGCCACAACGGUUGAACUUCCCAAGUAGCUGAUACCAAGGUCACACAAUCAUGGUGAGCAAAGGUCAAACCAGGCCAGGCACUCACGAGGCUGGCUGUGGCAAGUGUAAGUGAAAGCAACACGCAAUGGCAGGAAGAACAGCAAACACCGAUGAAGGAAAAGGGUCUUUGCAGUGAUGGGCGUCACCAGAGAGGGCGAUGGCCAGAGGGCACGAAUGGGACGGGGAGGCGGUCGCGCUGGGGGCGGCGCGACGCUGCUCGGGCCCGCCAGUGCCCCAACGGGGCCCUAGUUAUUAGGGCCCGAGCGUAGCUGCUAAGCAGCUGCGAGAGCCCUAUUAUUCCUGAUGGAUUCUUCUUUCUUCUUCUUCUUAUUAUUAUUUUUCUGCCCCUUUGAACUGGAAAAUGGCCCACUUCCCACUGGUGAAAACUCAUGAAAUUUGGCAGGACGACCGGGCCUGGUGAAAAAUUCGAUAUUCUGAAGUCACCCAAACAAUCAAAUGCAAAAUGGCUCCAUAGCGCCCCCUAAGGUGAAAAAUUCACAUGAUUGAGUGUCACGCCUGUACGCUUUGUCAAAAUGACACAAAAUUUGACACACACGUGUAUCUCAAUAAGAUCUACAAAAAAGUCAGUGCGGGCGUAUCUGUCAAAUGUACGUUUAAAGGGCUAUUUCGCAUUUUUUGCCGAUCCGCACACAUUGGAAUUUCGCUAACUCCUCCGAAGGCUUUCGUUCCACCGGCACCAAAUUUGCUCAGGCCAAUCUAUACCCCAUGGCCAUUCAAAGUUGUACAAAUCAUGACGCUGCACCCCACGGUUUACGUUGUAGGGGGCGCUAAAGAUAACCCAAAAAUCCACAUUCUUACAAGUCUUAUAACUUUUUAUUUCUGUCCUCACUGGCCUCCAAGUUUUCUAGGAUGAUGCAAUGUCCAGCCAUCAACACAUUUGUGAAGGAAUUUUUACUCCCCAAAAGAGCGCCCCCCCAUGGCAGGAGAAAAAAGGCCAUUUUUUCUUGUCCUAUAAGGUGAAAAUACACAUUGUUGAGUGUCACGCCUGUACGCUUUGUCAUAUUGAAACAAAAUUUGAUAAUCACGUGUAUCUCAAUAAGAUCUACGAAAAAGUCAAUGCGCACGUGUCUGCAAAAUGUACGGUUAAAGGGCUAUUUCGCAUUUUUGGUUGAUUCGCACACAUUGGAAUGUGGCUAUCUCCUCCUAAGGCUUUCGUUCCACCGAUACCAAAUUUGCUCAGGCCAAUCUACACCCCAUGCCCAUUCAAAGUUGUAAAAAUCAUGACGCUGCACCCCACGGUUUACGUUGUAGGGGGCGCCAAAGAUGACCCAAAAAUCCACAUUCUUAAAAGUCAUUUUGGCCACUGCAGGAGUACAGAGUACUGCAGUUCUAGGGGGCGCCAAAGAUGACCUAAAAAUCCACAUUCUUAAAAGUCUUUUUGGCCACUGCAGGAGUACAGAGUACUGCAGGAUACACACACAUAUACACACACACACACACACACACACACACACACACACACACACACUCAGAGUCUGUUUUUUAGCACCUGCAAAAACAUGCUGUUUACAUAUUUGACAAGAAUGCAGAGGCUUCCUUUUGCCCCUGAAAAAAAUCAGAUUUCAAACACAACUUGACUGUUCAUUUCUCCAAAAGACAACCAUGAAGCUCCAUCCAAACCUGAAGCAGAUAGUUGGUGCAUGUGUACAGUAACCUGAGGAGAGUGAGGUGACUAUUUCUGAGGAGAACAUGAGCAGUGAAGAUUCACCUUGGAGCUAGAACAGGGACGUGCACAUGAUUAUACAGGGGCAGGGGCUCAAGUUUUUUCCAGUCAUUUAUACAAUAUGGAAAUUAAUGUGAAAUUAAACCACAAAUAUGUGUGAUGAACUGUUUUUAAAACUUAAACUUCAAAUAAAAAUUGUAAACUUCAAAACAUAUGCAAAUUUUUAACAAAGAACAUAGUGAUUAACCUCUAUUUACAUCAAAAUGCAGGCAAUGGCCCAGGCGUUCUUUGUAAAAUUAUUUACAAAACACUGUAUAGUCUCACAAAUGUCACUUUUUAUUUAUGCCACUACAAAAAAACAUGAUGUAAAUGAUGCAUGAUGUAAAACAUGAUGUAAAAAACUUGUGUAGAUCCUCCUCUAUGUCAGUCCAUGUGUAAUUUUUCCAUAAUUCUUUGUUUUUUGCAGCAUUUUUGUUAGUGUAACUGCAGAUUGUGCUGACUGUCUAUGGCAAAAAAAAAAAAAAACUGAAAAUGCCUCAACAUGAACCCCUGGUGGUCUCUGAGGGUGAAACCUGCUAACUGCUGCAGCUCUGUCAGCUUCUGUCUCCCAUGCAGAGCUCGGAGCGCAUGUGUGGCUCUGCACCCUUAGCAGCGUUGCUAACUCCUCAGUAAGGAAAGCCUGCUUCAUGUCAGAGUCUCUAAACUCCAGAAGAAGUCGAUAAAAGUCCCUUUCUUUCUAAAAAAAAGUCGUUAGGGGGUCUGAAAAGUCAUUGAAUCUAACAACAAAGUCGCUAGGUUUGCAACUACGUGUCCCAGACUGCAUCCCUGCUGAGAGUCCCUCCCUCCCUUCUCAUGUUGCAGGAAGAACGUAAGCGCCCGCCCCUUGUCAAUCAGUCACCAUAUAAUUUUGGAUUGGUUGUUGUGGUGAAGUUUUCCACCAAUAGGAGAGAUGUUGUGGUGUGUUUUUUUUUUCUUUUGGCAAGCCUUUUCCGCCUGUAUGACCUGUCACUAAUGUGUGCAUGCAAUGUUUUCCUGUCUCAUACAGCACGAUUGAGCGCCGAACGUGAUCAAAAUAAGCAGAAAAAAAGUAUCGCGGACAUAAUUUAUCAUAACUCUGGUUUUAUUUGGCCUAUCAACACAAUUUAAAAACUGGUAUAUAGGUUGAGGUCCUCACUUUUGAGAUAAGUUGAAACGGAGAGUUAACGAGGCUCCGUCUUGCAGCUACAUCCGGUUAAAUAUGUCAUGUGACUUGAACGCUGGGGAGCGUCAAUCGAAUCGAAUCAAACCUAACUCUCAGAUGAAUCUUCAAAAUUCACCUCAGAAAUAUGCUUAUUAUUCUUCUCAGAGUACUGCAGGAUACACACACACACACACACACAGACACACACACACACACGCACACACACACACACACACACACUCAGAGUCUGUUUUUUAGCACCUGCAAAAACAUGCUAUUUACAUAUUUGACAAGAAUGCGGAGGCUUCCUUUUGCCCCUGAAAAAAAUCAGAUUUCAAACACAACUUGACUGGUCAUUUCUCCAAAAGACAACCAUGAAGCUCCAUCCAAACCUGAAGCAGGCAGUUGGUGCAUGUGUACAGUAACCUGAGGGGAGUGAGGUGACUGCUUCUGAGGGGAACAUGAGCACUGAAGAUUCACCUUGGAGCUAGAACAGGGACGUGCACAUGAUAAUACAGGGGCAGGGGCUCAAGUUUUUUCCAGUCGUUUAUACAAUAUGGAAAUUAAUGUGAAAUUAAAAAACAAAGUAUGACUGUCCUGUGUAGGUGACAGUGAUAUCCAAUAGGCUAGGCACUCACGAGGCUGGCUGUGGCAAGUGUAAGUGAAAGCAACACGCACUGGCAGGAAGAACAGCAAACGCCGAUGAAGGAAAAGGGUCUUUGCAGUGAUGGGCGUUACCAGAGAGGGCGAUGGCCAGAGGACACGAAUGGGACGGGGAGGCAGCGCGUUGGGGGGGGGGGGGUGCGACACGGCUCGGGCCCGCCAGUGCCCCAACGGGGCCCUAGUUAUUAUUAUUAUUAUUUUUCCUCCGCUUUAAACUGGAAAAUGGCCCACUUCCCACUGGCGAAAACUCAUGAAAUUUGGCAGGACAACCGGGCCUGGUGAAAAAUUCGAUAUUCUGAAGUCGCCCAAACAAUAAAAUGCAAAAUGGCUCCAUAGCGCCCCCUAAGGUGAAAAUUCACACUAUUGACUGUCACGCCUGUACGCUUUGUCAUAUUGACACAAAAAUUGACACACACAUGUAUCUCAAUAAGAUCUACAAAAAAGUCAGUGCGGGUGUAUCUGUCAAAUGUAUGGUUAAAGGGUUAUUUCGCAUUUUUUGCAGAUCCGCACACAUUGGAAUUUCGCUAACUCCUCCGAAGGCUUUCGUUCCACCAGCACCACGUUUGCUCAGGCCAAUCUACACCCCAUGGCCAUUCAAAGUUGUACAAAUCAUGACGCUGCACCCCACGGUUUACGUUCUAGGGGGCGCCAAAGAUAACCCAAAAAUCCACAGUCUUAAAAGUCUUAUAACUUUUUAUUUUUGUCCUCACUGGCCUCCAAGUUCUCUAGGAUGAUGCAAUGUCCAGCCAUCAACACAUUUGUGAAGGAAUUUUUACUCGCCAAAAGAGCGCCCCCCCCCAUGGCAGGAGAAAAAAGUCAAUUUUUUCUUGUCCCCCAAGGCAAAAAUACACAUUGUUGAAUGUCACGCCUGUACGCUUUGUCAUAUUGACACAAAAUUUGACAAUCACGUAUAUCUCAAUAAGAUCUACGAAAAAGUCAAAGAGCGCGUAUCUGUAUAAUGUACGGUAAAAGGGCUAUUUCGCAUUUUUUGCCGAUUCACACACAUUGGAAUGUGGCCAACUCCUCCUAAGGCUUUCGUCCCACUGACACCAAAUUUGCUUAGGCCAAUCUACAACCCAUGGCCAUUAAAAGUUGUAAAAAUCAUGACGCCGCACCCCACGGUUUACGUUCUAGGGGGCGCCAAAGAUGACCCAAAUAUACAUUACAGCAGACAAAGUAGUUUUGCCCACUGAGUGGCGCCAAAGGGACUUGUCUAUUGAGUCUGGGAGUCACUAUUGGCCGUUUUUGACUACUUUAGAUUUUACCUUUAUUAGGGCCCGAGCGUAGCUGCUAAGCAGCUGCGAGAGCCCUAUUAUUCCCCAAGUGGUUUUUCUUUGUUUCUUUCUUUCUUCUUUUUCCUCCCCUUUGAACUGGAAAAUGGCCCACUUCCCACUGGCGAAAACUCAUGAAAUUUGGCAGGAUGACCGGGCCUGGUGAAAAAUUUGAUAUUCCGAAGUCGCCCAAACAAGAAAAUGCAAAAUGGCUCCAUAGCGCCCCCUAAGGUGAAAAUUCACACUAUUGACUGUCACGCCUUUACGCUUUGUCAAAAUGACACAAAAAUUGACACACAUAUGUAUCUCAAUAAGAUCUACAAAAAAGUCAGUGCGGGCGUAUCUGUCAAAUGUACGGUUAAAGGGUUAUUCCGCAUUUUUUGCCGAUCCGCACACAUUGGAAUUUCGCUAACUCCUCCGAAGGCUUUCUUUCCACCGGCACCACAUUUGCUCAGGCCAAUCUACACCCCAUGGCCAUUAAAAGUUAUUCAAAUCAUGAUGCUGCACCCCACGGUUUAGGUUCUAGGGGGCGCCAAAGAUAACCCUAAAAUCCACAUAUUUAAAAGUCUUAUAACUUUUUAUUUUUGCCCUCACUGGCCUCCAAGUUUUCUAGGAUGAUGCAAUGUCCAGCCAUCAACACAUUUGUGAAGGAAUUUUUACUCCCCAAAAGAGCGCCCCCCCAUGGCCGGAGAAAAAAGUCCAUUUUUUCUUGUCCCCUAAGGUGAAAAUACACAUUGUUGAGUGUCACGCCUGUACGCUUUGUCAUAUUGACACAAAAUUUGACACACACAUGUAUCUCAAUAAGAUCUACGAAAAAGUCAAUGCGCGCGUAUCUGUCAAAUGUACGGUUAAAGGGUUAUUCCGCAUUUUUUGCUGAUCCGCACACAUUGGAAUUUCGCUAACUCCUCCUAAGGCUGGCGUUCCACCGGCACCACAUUUGCUCAGGCCAAUCUACACCCCAUGGCCAUUAGUCAAAUCAUGACGCUGCACCCCACGGUUUAGGUUCUAGGGGGCGCCAAAGAUAACCCUAAAAUCCACAUAUUUCAAAGUCUUAUAACUUUUUAUUUUUGUCCUCACUGGCCUCCAAGUUUUCUAGGAUGAUGCAAUGUCCAGCCAUCAACACAUUUGUGAAGGAAUUUUUACUCCUCAAAAGAGCGCCCCCCCAUGGCAGGAGAAAAAAGUCAAUUUUUUCUUGUCCCCUAAGGUGAAAAUACACAUUGUUGAGUGUGACACCUGUACGCUUUGUCAUAUUGACACAAAAUUUGACAAUCACGUGUAUCUCAAUAAGAUCUACGAAAAAGUCAAUGGGUGCGUAACUGUCAAAUGUACGGUUAGAGGGCUAUUUUGCAUUUUUUGCCGAUUCGCACACAUUGUAAUGUGGCUAACUCCUCCUAAGGCUUUCGUCCCACUGAAACCAAAUUUGCUCAGGCCAAUCUACACCCCAUGGCCAUUCAAAGUUGUAAAAAUCAUGACGCUGCACCCCACGGUUUACGUUCUAGGGGGCGCCAAAGAUGACCAAAAAAUCCACAUUCUUAAAAGAAUCCACAUUCUCCCCCCCCAUGGCAGGAGAAAAAGUCAAGUUUUUCCUGCCCAUCGCUCAAUGGCUCAAUCGCAUCGCUCUCCAGGCAACACCGUAACGAGGAGCAACCUGCCAUUUGGAUAUAUCCCAGCUGUGUUUGUGCCCUCACUCAUGGUCCAGACUUUUUUCUAAUAGGACAUGAAGUUUGUCUGCAGCGAGUGUUUUGGUAGAAACUGCGCCUCCCAUUCAUUAUAAUGGGAAAUGACCACAGACAAGUGCGCACACCAUCUUUGGACCUUGAGUGUGACGCAAUCGGGAGGGGGAGGCGGUCACGCUGGGGGCGGCACGACGCGGCUCGGGCCCGACAGUGCCCCACCGGGGCCCUAGUAUUUCCUCUUAAAGUUUUUUUACCUUGCCUUGCCUGGUAUCAUUUUUUUCAGCACAACCUCACCUGUGUGAAUUUACAGUUAUUUUAUCAUUUUGACAUACUGUAUUUACACAAUGGACCCAAAUUCACACACAAAACAUAAAUUCCGAGUGGAAAAAAGUAACAUUUUUACUGUGAAAACCACAAAUAUGUGUGAUGAACUGUUUUUAAAACUUAAACUUCAAAUAAAAAUUGUAAACUUCAAAACAUAUGCAAAUUUUUAACAAAGAACAUAGUAAUUUACCUCUAUUUACAUCAAAAUGCAGGCAAUGGCCCAGGCGUUCUUUGUAAAAUUAUUUACAAAACACUGUAUAGUCUCACAAAUGUCACUUAUAUUUAAGCCACUACAAAAAAUCAUGAUGUAAAUGAUGCAUGAUGUAAAACAUGAUGUAAAAAACUUGUGUAGAUCCUCCUCUAUGUUAGUCCAUGUGUAAUUUUUCCAUAAUUCUUUGUUUUUUGCAGCAUUUUUGUUAGUGUAACUGCAGAUUGUGCUGACAGUGUCUAUGGCAAAAAAAAAAAAAAACUGAAAAUGCCUCAACAUGAACCCCUGGUGGUCUCUGAGGGUGAAACCUGCUAACUGCUGCAGAUCUGUCAGCUUCAUGCAGAGCUCGGAGCACAUGUGUGGCUCUGCACCAUUAGCAGCGUUGCUAACUCCUCAGUAAGGAAAGCCUGCUUCAUGCCUGAGUCUCUAAACUCCAGAAGAAGUCGAUAAAAGUCCCUUUCUUUCUAAAAAAAAAAGGCGUUAGGUGGUCUGAAAAGUCAUUGAAUCUAACAACAAAGUUGCUAGGUUUGCAACUACGUGUCCCAGACUGCAUCCCUGCUGAGAGUCCCUCCCUCCCUUCUCAUGUUGCAGGAAGACCGUAAGCGCCCGCCCCUUGUCAAUCAGUCACCAUAUAAUUUUCGAUUGGUUGUUGUGGUGAAGUUUUCCACCAAUAGGAGAGAUGUUGUGGUGUGUUUUUUUUUUCUUUUGGCAAGCCUUUUCCGCCUGUAAGACCUGUCGCUAAUGUCUGCAUGCUAUGUUUUCCUGUCUCAUACAGCGCGAUCGAGCGCCGAACGUGAUCAAAAUAAGCAGAAAAAAAGUAUCGCAGACAUAAUUUAUCAUAACUCUGGUUUUAUUUGGCCUAUCAACACAAUUUAAAAACUGGUAUAUAGUUUAAGGUCCUCACUUUGGAGAUAAGUUGAAACGGAUAGUCAACGAGGCUCCAUCUUGCAGCUACAUCCGGUUAAAUAUGUCAUGUGACUUGAACGCUGGGGAGCGUCAAUCGACUGCAGAGCCAGCAGACAAAGUACUUAUGGCCAUUGAGAGGCACACAUUUGUCAUAUGCUAUAAUCCUAACAUAUUUUAAUGCUUUUUCUAUUUAAACCUAAUGGAUCUAAGGUUUGACCUUCAAAAUUUAGGAAGAAUAUGUUAUUGCAGUAAUGACCCCCUUAAACAACCAGAGGUCCUUUCCUAAAGUUUAUGGAAAUUUUAGUGAAGGCCUUGGUUUCUGUCCUCGCAAAAUGCAUAGAAAUAAUAAAGCUAAAUACCAUAAAAUGGUCUUGGCGUAUUAGCAGUGAUAUAAAAUAGUGGUUUGAAUAUGAAUGAACAACAAAAAAAAACAUCAACAGAGCCUUUUUGUGUUGGGAUUCUUUCAUUAUUACACAAAAACAGACAUAGACAGACAUCGAAAGGGUAAGGGAAUGAUCAGCCCUCCUGACUCUCAGAUGAAUCUUCAAAAUUCACCUCAGAAAUAUGCUUAUUCUUCUCAGAGUACUGCAGGAUACACACACACACACACACACACACACACACACACACACUCAGAGUCUUUUUUUUAGCACCUGCAAAAACAUGCUAUUUACAUAUUUGACAAGAAUGCAGAGGCUCCUUUUGCCCCUGAAAAAAAUCAAAUUUCAAACACAACUUGACUGCUCAUUUCUCCAAAAGACAACCAUGAAGCUCCAUCCAAACCUGAAGCAGGCAGUUGGUGCAUGUGUACAGUAACCUGAGGGGAGUGAGGUGACUGCUUCUGAGGAGAACAUGAGCAGUGAAGAUUCACCUUGGAGCUAGAACAGGGACGUGCACAUGAUUAUACAGGGGCAGGGGCUCACGUUUUUUCCAGUCGUUUAUACAAUAUGGAAAUUAAUGUGAAAUUAAAAACAAAGUAUUAAUAGAAAGGUAAUGACUGUCCUGUGUAGGUGACCGUGAUAUCCAAUAGGCUAGGCACUCACAAGGCUGGCUGUGGCAAGUGUAAGUGAAAGCAACAUGCACUGGCAGGAAGACCAGCUAACACAGAUGAAGGAAAAGGGUCUUUGCAGUGAUGGGCGUCACCAGAGAGGGCGACAGCCAGAGGACGUGAAUGGGACAGGGAGGCGGUCGCGCUGGGGGCGGCGCGACGCGGCUCGGGCCCGCCAGUGCCCCAACGGGGCCCUAGUUUGUUAUUAUUAUUAUUAUUAUUAUUUUUCCUCCGCUUUAAACUGGAAAAUGGCCCACUUCCCACUGGCGGAAACUCAUUAAAUUUGGCAGGACGACCGGGCCUGGUGCAAAAUUCGAUAUUCUGAAGUCGCCCAAACAAUAAAAUGCAAAAUGGCUCCAUAGCGCCCCCUAAGGUGAAAAUUCACACUAUUGACUGUCACGCCUUUACGCUUUGUCAUAUUGACACAAAAAUUGACACACACAUGUAUCUCAAUAAGAUCUACAAAAAAGUCAGUGCGGGCGUAUCUGUCAAAUGUACGGUUAAAGGGUUAUUUCGCAUUUUUUGCCGAUCCGCACACAUUGGAAUUUCGCUAACUCCUCCGAAGGCUUUCGUUCCAACGGCACCACAUUUGCUCAGGCCAAUCUACACCCCAUGGCCAUUAAAAGUUGUACAAAUCAUGACGCUGCACCCCACGGUUUACGUUCUAGGGGAACGAAGGAAUUUUUACUCCCCAAAAGAGCGCCCCCCAAUGGCAGGAGAAAAAAGUCCAUUUUUUCUUGUCUCCUAAGGCGAAAAUACACAUUGUUGACUGUCACGCAUUUACGCUUUGUCAAAAUGACACAAAAAUUGACACACACAUGUAUCUCAAUACGAUCUACGAAAAAGUCAAUGCGAGCGUAUCUGUUCAAUGUACGGUUAAAGGGCUAUUUCGCAUUUUUUGCCGAUUCGCACACAUUGGAAUGUGGCUAACUCCUCCUAAAUCUUUUGUCCCAUCGGCUUCAAAUUUGCUCAGGUCAAUCUACACCCCAUGGCCAUUCAAAGUUGUACAAAUCAUGACGCUGCACCCCACAGUUUACGUUCUAGGGGGCGCCAAAGAGGACCCAAAUAUCCACAUUUUUAAAAGUCUUAUAACUUUUUAUUUUUGUCCUCACUGGCCUCCAAGUUUUCUAGGAUGAUGCAAUGUCCAGCCAUCAACACAUUUGUGAAGGAAUUUUUUCUCCCCAAAAGCGCGCCCCCCCAUGGCAGGAGAAAAAGUCAAGUUUUUCCUGCCCAUCGCUCAAUGGCUCAAACGCAUCGCUCUCUCGGCAAAACGGAAAGGAGGAGCAACUUGCCAUUUGGAUAUAUACUAGCUGUGUUUGUGCCCUCACUCAUGGUCCAGACUUUUUUCAAAAAGGACAUGGAGUUUGUCUGCAGCGAGCGUUUUGGUAGAAACUGCGCCUCCCAUUCAUUAUAAUGGUAAAUGACCACAGACAAGUGCGCACACCAUCUUUGGACCUUGAGUGUGACGCGAUCGGGAGGGGUAGGCGGUCGCGCUGGGGGCGGCGCAACACGGCUCGGGCCCAACAGUGCCCCAACGGGGCCCUAGUUAGGGCCCGAGCCAGCUGCAGAGCAGCCGGGCGUAGAGCCCUAUUAUUCCUGUAAAGGUUUUUCUUUCUUCUUUCUUUCUUUCUUUCUUUAGGGCCCGAGCGUAGCUGCUAAGCAGCUGCGAGAGCCCUCUUGUUCCUGCAUGUUUCCUUCUUUUGUUAUUAUUAUUAUUAUUAUUUUUCCUCCCCUUUGAACUGGAAAAUGGCCCACUUCCCACUGGCGAAAACUCAUGAAAUUUGGCAGGACGACCGGGCCUGGUGAAAAAUUUGAUAUUCUGAAGUCGCCCAAACAAUAAAAUGCAAAAUGGCUCCAUAGCGCCCCCUAAGGUGGAAAUUCACACUAUUGACUGUCACGCCUGUACGCUUUGUCAAAAUGACACAAAAUUUGACACACAUAUGUAUCUCAAUAAGAUCUACAAAAAAGUCAGUGCGGGCGUAUCUGUCAAAUGUACGGUUUAAGGGCUAUUUCGCAUUUUUUGGCGAUCCGUACACAUUGGAAUUUCGCUAACUCCUCCGAAGGCUUUUGUUCCACCGGCACCACAUUUGCUCAGGCCAAUCUACACCCCAUGGCCAUUAAAAGUUAUUCAAAUCAUGACGCUGCACCCCACGGUUUAGGUUCUAGGGGGCGCCAAAGAUAACCCUAAAAUCCACAUAUUUAAAAGUCUUAUAACUUUUUAUUUUUGUCCUCACUGGCCUCCAAGUUCUCUAGGAUGAUGCAAUGUCCAGCCAUCAACACAUUUAUGAAGGAAUUUUUACUCGCCAAAAGAGCGCCCCCCCAUGGCAGGAGAAAAAAGUCCAUUUUUUCUUGUCUCCUAAGGCGAAAAUACACAUUGUUGACUGUCACGCCUUUACGCUUUGUCAAAAUGACACAAAAUUUGACACACACAUGUAUCUCAAUAAGAUCUACGAAAAAGUCAAUGCGAGCGUAUUUGUUCAAUGUACGGUUAAAGGGCUAUUUCGCAUUUUUUGCCGAUUCGCACACAUUGGAAUGUGGCUAACUCCUCCUAAAUCUUUUGUCCCACCGGCACCACAUUUGCUCAGGCCAAUCUACACCCCAUGGCCAUUAAAAGUUAUUCAAAUCAUGACGCUGCACCCCACGGUUUAGGUUCUAGGGGGCGCCAAAGAUAACCCUAAAAUCCACAUAUUUAAAAGUCUUAUAACUUUUUAUUUUUGUCCUCACUGGCCUCCAAGUUUUCUAGGAUGAUGCAAUGUCCAGCCAUCAACACAUUUGUGAAGGAAUUUUUCUCCCAAAAGAGCGCCCCCCCAUGGCAGGAGAAAAAGUCAAGUUUUUCCUGCCCAUCGCUCAAUGGCUCAAACGCAUCGCUCUCUCGGCAAAAACCGAAAGGAGGAGCAACUUGCCAUUUGGAUAUAUCUAGCUGUGUUUGUGCCCUCACUCAUGGUCCAGACUUUUUUCAAAUAGGACAUGGAGUUUGUCUGCAGCGAGCGUUUUGGUAGAAACUUCGCCUCCCAUUCAUUAUAAUGGUAAAUGACCACAGACAAGUGCGCACACCAUCUUUGGACCUUGAGUGUGACGCGAUCGGGAGGGGUAGGCGGUCGCGCUGGGGGCGGCGCGACACGGCUCGGGCCCGCCAGUGCCCCAACGGGGCCCUAGUUAGGGCCCGAGCCAGCUGCAGAGCAGCCGGGCGUAGGCCCUAUUAUUCCCCAAGUGGUUUUUCUUUGUUUCUUUCUUUCUUUCUUUCUUUCUUCUUUUUCCUCCCCUUUGAACUGGAAAAUGGCCCACUUCCCACUGGCGAAAACUCAUGAAAUUUGGCAGGACGACUGGGCCUGGUGAAAAAUUCGAUAUUCUGAAGUCGCCCAAACAAUAAAAUGCAAAAUGGCUCCAUAGCGCCCCCUAAGGUGGAAAUUCACACUAUUGACUGUCACGCCUGUACGCUUUGUCAUAUUGACACAAAAAUUGACACACAUAUGUAUCUCAAUAAGAUCUACAAAAAAGUCAGUGCGGCCGUAUCUGUCAAAUGUACGGUAAAAGGGCUAUUUCGCAUUUUUUGCCGAUCCGCACACAUUGGAAUUUCGCUAACUCCUCCGAAGGCUUUCGUUCCACCGGCACCACAUUUGCUCAGGCCAAUCUACACCCCGUGGCCAUUAAAAGUUAUCAAAAUCAUGACGCUGCACCCCAAGGUUUAGGUUCUAGGGGGCGCCAAAGAUAACACUAAAAUCCACAUAUUUAAAAGUCUUAUAACUUUUUAUUUUUGUCCUCACUGGCCUCCAAGUUUUCUAGGAUGAUGCAAUGUCCAGCCAUCAACACAUUUGUGAAGGAAUUUUUACUCCCCAAAAGAGCGCCCCCCCAUGGCAGGAGAAAAAAGUCCAUUUUUUCUUGUCCCCUAAGGUGAAAAUACACAUUGUUGAGUGUCACGCCUAUACGCUUUGUCAAAAUGACACAAAAAUUGACACACACAUGUAACUCAAUAAGAUCUAUGAAAAAGUCAAUGCGCGCGUAUCUGUCAAAUGUACGGUUAAAGGGUUAUUCCGCAUUUUUUGCCGAUCCGCACACAUUGGAAUUUCGCUAACUCCUCCUAAGGCUUUCGUUCCACCGGCACCACAUUUGCUCAGGCCAAUCUACACCCCAUGGCCAUUAAAAGUUAUUCAAAUCAUGACGCUGCACCCCACGGUUUAGGUUCUUGGGGGCGCCAAAGAUAACCCUAAAAUCCACAUAUUUAAAAGUCUUAUAACUUUUUAUUUUUGUCCUCACUGGCCUCCAAGUUUUCUAGGAUGAUGCAAUGUCCAGCCAUCAACACAUUUGUGAAGGAAUUUUUACUCCCCAAAAGAGCGCCCCCCCAUGGCAGGAGAAAAAAGUCCAUUUUUUCUUGUCCCCUAAGGUGAAAAUACAUAUUGUUGAGAUUCACGCCUAUACGCUUUGUCAUAUUGACACAAAAUUUGACAAUCACGUGCCUUGCCUGGUAUCAUUUAUUUCAGAACAACCUCACCUGUGCGAAUUUACAGUUAUUUUAUCAUGUUGACAUACUGAAUUUACACAAUGGACCCAAAUUCACACACAAAACAUAAAAUCCGAGUGGAAAAAAGUAACAUUUUUACUGUGAAAACCACAAAUAUGUGUGAUGAACUGUUUUUAAAACUUAAACUUCAAAUAAAAAUUGUAAACUUCAAAACAUAUGCAAAUUUUUAACAAAGAACAUAGUGAUUUACCUCUAUUUACAUCAAAAUGCAGGCAAUGGCCCAGGCGUUCUUUGUAAAAUUAUUUACAAAACACUGUAUAGUCUCACAAAUGUCACUUUUUAUUUAUGCCACUACAAAAAAACAUGAUGUAAAUGAUGCAUGAUGUAAAACAUGAUGUAAAAAACUUGUGUAGAUCCUCCUCUAUGUCAGUCCAUGUGUAAUUUUUCCAUAAUUCUUUGUUUUUUGCAGCAUUUUUGUUAGUGUAACUGCAGAUUGUGCUGACAGUGUCUAUGGCACAAAAAAAAAAAAAAAAUUAAAAUGCCUCAACAUGAACCCCUGGUGGUCUCUGAGGGUGAAACCUGCUAACUGCUGCAGCUCUGUCAGCUUCAGUCUCCCAUGCAGAGCUCUGAGCGCAUGUGUGGCUCUGCACCCUUAGCAGCGUUGCUAACUCCUCAGUAAGGAAAGCCUGCUUCAUGUCAGAGUCUCUAAACUCCAGAAGAAGUCGAUAAAAGUCCCUUUCUUUCUAAAAAAAAGUCGUUAGGGGGUCUGAAAAGUCAUUGAAUCUAACAACAAAGUCGCUAGGUUUGCAACUACGUGUCCCAGACUGCAUCCCUGCUGAGAGUCCCUCCCUCCCUUCUCAUGUUGCAGGAAGAACGUAAGCGCCCGCCCCUUGUCAAUCAGUCACCAUAUAAUUUUGGAUUGGUUGUUGUGGUGAAGUUUUCCACCAAUAGGAGAGAUGUUGUGGUGUGUUUUUUUUUUUCUUUUGGCAAGCCUUUUCCGCCUGUAAGACCUGUCGCUAAUGUCUGCAUGCUAUGUUUUCCUGUCUCAUACAGCGCGAUCGAGCGCCGAACGUGAUCAAAAUAAGCAGAAAAAAAGUAUCGCGGACAUAAUUUAUCAUAACUCUGGUUUUAUUUGGCCUAUCAACACAAUUUAAAAACUGGUUAAAAGGUUGAGGUCCUCACUUUUGAGAUAAGUUGAAACGAAGAGUCAACGAGGCUCCGUCUUGCAGCUACAUCCGGUUAAAUAUGUCAUGUGACUUGAACGCACACACAGACACACGCACACGCACACACACACACACACACACACACACACACACUCAGAGUCUGGUUUUUAGCACCUGCAAAAACAUGCUAUUUACAUAUUUGACAAGAAUGCAGAGGCUCCUUUUGCCCCUGAAAAAAUUCAAAUUUCAAACACAACUUGACUGGUCAUUUCUCCAAAAGACAACCAUGAAGCUCCAUCCAAACCUGAAGCAGGCAGUUGGUGCAUGUGUACAGUAACCUGAGGGGAGUGAGGUGAGUGCUUCUGAGGAGAACAUGAGCAGUGAAGAUUCACCUUGGAGCUAGAACAGAGACAUGCACAUGAUUAUACAGGGGCAGGGGCUCAAGUUUUUUCCAGUCGUUUAUACAAUAUGGAAAUUAAUGUGAAAUUAAAACACAAAGUAUUAAUAGAAAGGUAAUGACUGUCCUGUGUAGGUGACAGUGACAUCCAAUAGGCUAGGCACUCACGAGGUUGGCUGUGGCAAGUGUAAGUGAAAGCAACACGCACUGGCAGGAAGAACAGCAAGCGCCGAUGAAGGAAAGGGUCUUUGCAGUGAUGGGCGUUACCAGAGAGGGCGAUGGCCAGAGGACGCGAAUGGGACGGGGAGGCAGCGCGUUGGGGGGGGCAGCGCGACACGGCUCGGGCCCGCCAGUGCCCCAACGGGGCCCUAGUUAGGGCCCGAGCGUAGCUGCUAAGCAGCUGCGAGAGCCCUCUUGUUCCUGCAUGUUUCCUUCUUUUGUUAUUAUUAGGGCCCGAGCGUAGCUGCUAAGCAGCUGCGAGAGCCCUAUUAUUCCCCAAGUGGUUUUUCUUUGUUUCUUUCUUUCUUUCUUUCUUUCUUUCUUUCUUCUUUUUCCUCCCCUUUGAACUGGAAAAUGGCCCACUUCCCACUGGCGAAAACUCAUGAAAUUUGGCAGGACGACCGGGCCUGGUGAAAAAUUCGAUAUUCUGAAGUCGCCCAAACAAUAAAAUGCAAAAUGGCUCCAUAGCGCCCCCUAAGGUGGAAAUUCACACUAUUGACUGUCACGCCUGUACGCUUUGUCAUAUUGACACAAAAAUUGACACACAUAUGUAUCUUAAUAAGAUCUACAAAAAAGUCAGUGCGGCCGUAUCUGUCAAAAUUAAGGUUAAAGGGUUAUUUCGCAUUUUUUGCCGAUCCGCACACAUUGAAAUUUCGCUAACUCCUCCGAAGGCUUUCGUUCCACCGGCACCACAUUUGCUCAGGCCAAUCUACACCCCGUGGCCAUUAAAAGUUAUCAAAAUCAUGACGCUGCACCCCAAGGUUUAGGUUCUAGGGGGCGCCAAAGAUAACACUAAAAUCCACAUAUUUAAAAGUCUUAUAACUUUUUAUUUUUGUCCUCACUGGCCUCCAAGUUUUCUAGGAUGAUGCAAUGUCCAGCCAUCAACACAUUUGUGAAGGAAUUUUUACUCCCCAAAAGAGCGCCCCCCCAUGGCAGAAGAAAAAAGUCCAUUUUUUCUUGUCCCCUAAGGUGAAAAUACACAUUGUUGAGUGUCACGCCUAUACGCUUUGUCAAAAUGACACAAAAAUUGACACACACAUGUAACUCAAUAAGAUCUACGAAAAAGUCAAUGCGCGCGUAUCUGUCAAAUGUACGGUUAAAGGGUUAUUCCGCAUUUUUUGCCGAUCCGCACACAUUGGAAUGUGGCUAACUCCUCCUAAGGCUUUCGUUCCACCGGCACCACAUUUGCUCAGGCCAAUCUACACCCCGUGGCCAUUAAAAGUUAUCAAAAUCAUGACGCUGCACCCCAAGGUUUAGGUUCUAGGGGGCGCCAAAGAUGACACUAAAAUCCACAUAUUUAAAAGUCUUAUUACUUUUUAUUUUUGUCCUCACUGGCCUCCAAGUUUUCUAGGAUGAUGCAAUGUCCAGCCAUCAACACAUUUGUGAAGGAAUUUUUACUCCCCAAAAGAGCGCCCCCCCAUGGCAGAAGAAAAAAGUCCAUUUUUUCUUGUCCCCUAAGGUGAAAAUUCACACUAUUGACUGUCAGGCCUGUACGCUUUGUCAUAUUGACACAAAAAUUGACACACACAUGUAUCUCAAUAAGAUCUACGAAAAAGUCAAUGCCGCGUAUCUGUCAAAUGUACGGUUAAAGGGUUAUUUCGCAUUUUUUGCCGAUGCGCACACAUUGGAAUUUCGCUAACUCCUCCUAAGGCUUUUGUUCCACCGGCACCACAUUUGCUCAGGCCAAUCUACACCCCAUGGCCAUUGAAAGUUAUUCAAAUCAUGAUGCUGCACCCCACGGUUUAGGUUCUAGGGGGCGCCAAAUAUAACCCUAAAUCCACAUAUUUAAAAGUCUUAUAACUUUUUAUUUUUGUCCUCACUGGCCUCCAAGUUCUCUAGGAUGAUGCAAUGUCCAGCCAUCAACACAUUUGUGAAGGAAUUUUUACUCCCCAAAAGAGCGCCCCCCCAUGGCAGGAGAAAAAAGUCAAUUUUUUCUUGUCCCCUAAGGUGAAAAUACACAUUGUUGAGUGUCACGCCUGUACGCUUUGUCAUAUUGACACAAAAUUUGACAAUCACGUGUGUCUCAAUAACAUCUACGAAAAAGUCAAUGCACGCGUAUCUGUCAAAUGUACGGUUAAAGGGCUAUUUUGCAUUUUUUGCCGAUUCGCACACAUUGGAAUGUGGCUAACUCCUCCUAAGGCUUUCAUCCCACUGACACCAAAUUUGCUCAGGCCAAUCUACACCCCAUGGCCAUUAAAAGUUGUAAAAAUCAUGGCGGUGCACCCCACGGUUUACGUUCUAGGGGGCGCCAAAGAUGACCCAAAUAUCCACAUUCUUAAAAGAAUCCACAUCCCCCCCCCCCCCAAUCCCCCAUCCCCCAUGGCAGGAGAAACAGUCAAGUUUUUCCUGCCCAUCACUCAAUGGCUCAAUCGCAUCGCUCUCCCGGCAACACCGUAACGAGGAGCAACUUGCCGUUUGGAUAUAUCCUAGCUGUGUUUGUGCCCUCACUCAUGGUCCAGACUUUUUUCAAAUAGGAUAUGUAGUUUGUCUGCAGCGAGUGUUUUGGUAGAAACUGCGCCUCCCAUUCAUUAUAAUGGGAAAUGACCACAGACAAGUGCGCACACCAUCUUUGGACCUUGAGUGUGACGCGAUCGGGAGGGGGAGGUGGUCGCGCUGGGGGCGGCGCGACGCGGCUCGGGCCCGACAGUGCCCCACCGGGGCCCUAGUUAUUAUUUUUCCUCCCCUUUGAACUGGAAAAUGGCCCACUUCCCACUGGCGAAAACUCAUGAAAUUUGGCAGGACGACCGGGCCUGGUGAAAAAUUUGAUAUUCCGAAGUCGACCAAACAAGAAAAUGCAAAAUGGCUCCAUAGCGCCCCCUAAGGUGAAAAUUCACACUAUUGACUGUCACGCCUGUACACUUUGUCAAAAUGACACAAAAAUUGACACACACAUGUAUCUCAAUAAGAUCUACGAAAAAGUCAACGCGCGCGUAUCUGUCAAAUGUACGGUUAAAGGGUUAUUCCGCAUUUUUUGCCGAUCCGCACACAUUGGAAUUUCGCUAACUCCUCCGAAGGCUUUCGUUCCACCGGCACCACAUUUGCUCAGGCCAAUCUACACCCCAUGGCCAUUAAAAGUUAUUCAAAUCAUGACGCUGCACCCCACGGUUUAGGUUCUAGGGGGCGCCAAAGAUAACCGUAAAAUCCACAUAUUUAAAAGUCUUAUAACUUUUUAUUUUUGUCCCCACUGGCCUCCAAGUUUUCUAGGAUGAUGCAAUGUCCAGCCAUCAACACAUUUGUGAAGGAAUUUUUACUCGCCAAAAGAGCGCCCCCCCAUGGCAGGAGAAAAAAGUCCAUUUUUUCUUGUCCACUAAGGUGAAAAUACACAUUGUUGAGUGCUACGCCUGUAUGUUUUGUCGUAUUGACACAAAAUUUUACAUACACAUGUAUCUCAAUAAGAUCUACGAAAAAGUCAAUGCGCGCGUAUCUGUCAAAUGUACGGUUAAAGGGUUAUUCCGCAUUUUUUGCCGAUCCGCACACAUUGGAAUUUCGCUAACUCCUCCGAAGGCUUUCGUUCCACCGGCACCACAUUUGCUCAGGCCAAUCUACACCCCAUGGCCAUUAAAAGUUAUUCAAAUCAUGACGCUGCACCCCACGGUUUAGGUUCUAGGGGGCGCCAAAGAUAACCCUAAAAUCCACAUAUUUAAAAGUCUUAUAACUUUUUAUUUUUGUCCUCACUGGCCUCCAUGUUUUCUAGGAUGAUGCAAUGUCCAGCCAUCAACACAUUUGUGAAGGAGUUUUUUCUCUUUAAAAGAGCGCCCCCCCCCAUGGCAGGAGAAUAAAGUCAAGUUUUUCCUGUUCAUCAUUCAAUGGCUCAAACGCACUGCUCUCUCGGCAAAAGCGAAAGGAGGAGCAACUUGCCAUUUGGAUAUAUCUUAGCUGUGUUUGUGCCCUCACUCAUGGUCCAGACUUUUUUCAAAUAGGACAUGGAGUUUUUUUGCAGCGAGCGUUUUGGUAGAAACUGCGCCUCCCGUUCAUUAUAAUGGUAAAUGACCACAAACAAGUGCGCACACCAUCUUUGGACCUUGAGUGUGACGCGAUCGGGUGGGGGAGGCGGUCGCGCUGGGGGCGGCGUGACACGGCUCGGGCCCGCCAGUGCCCCAACGGGGCCCUAGUGUUAUUAUUUUUCCUCCCUUUUAAACUGGAAAAUGGCCCACUUCCCACUGGCGAAAACUCAGGAAAUUUGGCAGGACGAAUGGGCCUGGUGAAAAAUUCGAUAUUCUGAAGUCGCCCAAACAAUAAAAUGCAAAAUGGCUCCAUAGCGCCCCCUAAGGUGAAAAUUCACAUGACGGCUGUACGCUUUGUCAUAUUGACACAAAAAUUGACACACAUAUGUAUCUCAAUAAGAUCUACAAAAAAGUCAGUGCGGGCGUAUUUGUCAAAUGUACGGUUAAAGGGUUAUUUCGCAUUUUUUGCCGAUCCACACACAUUGGAAUUUCGCUAACUCCUCCGAAGGCUUUCGUUCCACCGGCACCACAUUUGCUCAGGCCAAUCUACACCCCAUGGCCAUUAAAAGUUAUUCAAAUCAUGACGCUGCACCCCACGGUUUAGGUUCUAGGGGGCGCCAAAAAUAACCCUAAAAUCCACAUAUUUAAAAGUCUUAUAACUUUUUAUUUUUG